UACAGAGGUCCCGAGCGUUGUUCGGAUUCACUGGGCGUAAAGGGUGCGUAGGUGGCCUACAAAGUUUGAUGUGAAAGCUCAGGGCUUAACCCUGAAAUGGCAUUGAAUACUGUUGGGCUGGAGGUUUGGAGGGGGGACUGGAAUUCUUGGUGUAGCAGUGAAAUGCGUAGAUAUCAAGAGGAACACCAGUGGCGAAGGCGAGUCCCUGGACAACACCUGACACUGAGGCACGAAAGCUAGGGGAGCAAACGGG
rnacentral:rRNA from 1 species